rnacentral:rRNA from 1 species
CAAUAGCGUAUAUUAAAGCUGUUGCGGUUAAAAAGCUCGUAGUUGGAUUUCUGUCAAGGACAACUGGUCCGCCCCUCGGGUGAGCACAUAGUUUGGUCUUGGCAUCUUGUUGGAAACUGUUGCUGCACUUGGUUGUGUGGCGCAGUGUCCAGCACUUUCACUUUGAGGGAAUUGGAGUGUUUCAAGCAGGCACAUGCCUUUGGACACAGUAGCAUGGAAUAAUUAGAUUGGGCUUUUGCUCCAACUUGUCGGUUUCUGGAGCUGAGGUGAGAAUUAAUGGGGAUUGUUGGGGGCAUCCGAAUUUAGCCGUCAGAGGUGAAAUUCUUGGAUCUGCUAAAGACGGACAACUGCGAAAGCGUUUGCCCAGGAUGUUUUCAUUGA